AUGCGUAUCGUUAAAUUUAAACAGCAAACACACUCGUAGUGGCUUAUUUUUAAGCUGUUUUGGACACCGGUUCAAUUCCGGUCACCUCCACCA
rnacentral:tmRNA from 1 species